ensembl:miRNA gga-mir-1452 gga-mir-1452
AGGGACUGUCUUGAGAUAAGACAGAGGAUAUUAAGCCUGAAAUAAAAAUAAUAUCCUUCUUUCUUGUCUUUUAGUCUC